CUUGUCUCCACGGCGUCGUUCACUGACAUCAGUAACGACUUUGCUAGCACAUCUAAAAGCGCUACAAUAUUAAAUUUCAACGAAUUAUAAAUGUAUCAGCUAUCAACUAUUAUUAACGUAUUACGUGAUAAUAUAUAAAGUUCAAAGAUGUUAAAGAACCGAUUUUAAAAUCAGUACACGCGCAGAGUCGCAAAAGCAUGAAGAUAUAAUCGAUGUACCUCGAUAGCAUGCAUAUUCUCGUUACCAUUUUAGCCGAUGAAAUUCGAUUAGGUGAUGAUAUACCAGGUCCCGGACAAAUUGGAUUGUUGACAAUGCGGUCUGUCAUCGUGCACGGUUUAUUAGCCAAAUCGAUUUUAUCUUUCUCUUAUAGAUUGAAACGAUUUGGAAUUCGAUAGAAAAAAAAAGAAAAUAGAUCUUCUUUAGUUUGGAAUACUGGAAACACCAUUAUCCUUUCUCAUUUUUCUUGUUUAAUAACACGUGAGAAGGAAUUGUACAAAAGUUUUACAUGUGUAUAUAAGAAAAAAACGUUACAAAA